GGGCGCGGCCGCCAUGACGGGCCGCCAUGAGGAGUCGGCCCGGCUCCUGCGGUCCUCCCAGCGCCGCCUCACAGAACCCGCCCGCAACCACAGCUCCGCCAGCUUUACAACCCCGUGACUUUUAGUUUCCGUAACUAUCGCAGACACGUGUUCGGUAGCGAAGAGCCUAACGUAGGGAACGGCAGAAUGACCAAAUGCCUCUAAGACCUUAAAAGGACCACACGCCUGUGGUGGUCAGCUGAUGAUGACCAGACCACAGUCUGGUCGUACCUACAGGGAAAAAUCGGGUUUAAGAAGUCAAAAUGAGUCUUACGAGCUGUGGAGGGAUCCUGCCGGCCGCCAGGGUGUCGAUUUCUCAAGGAAAGAGGUGUUUGGGAGCAGAGCAGGGCUUCUCCCAAAGCAGUGAGAGUGACCUGCCCUGUCGUCUCCUGCACCAGCACGUUUUCAUUUGCAAAGACCAAAUCCUGCUUGCCAGAUACAAACACACCAAGUAGAUCGAGGAGCACAGCUGAGAGCUCUGCAGGAUGCAGUGAGAGAACCUUGGGAUUGCAGCAAUUUUUGUAGUAACCAGGAACCACAAAAAGGGAGUCAGGCCGUUCAGGCACAAGGAAAAUGCUGCUGUCAGGAGAGAAGGCAGGCUGGGAUCACAUCACCAUCACGAGCUGGUGAUGACCAAGGACAACAAGCAAGCAGCUACUGAAAUACAUUCCCCUGGACAAUCACCCCAGUUUCUCUCGACAAAGGCUCUGGAGAACAAACUUCCUUUGAACUGCUGAGAUAAAGAGUAACACAACGAUCUGUGGGACCACGGGUGUCUUCUGAUGAGGAGCCAUAGCCAGGAAAGCUCUUUGAGAUACAGCAGGCACCCCAGGCUGAGCCAGAGGACACCGGACAAAGCAAGAGCUGGGAAGUCACUGUGCAAUCCAGA